rfam:Triticum urartu cultivar G1812 contig534688, whole genome shotgun sequence.
UAUAUACUCUCUUUGUCCGGAAAUACUAGUCGCAUAAAUAGAUAAAAAUAGAUGUAUUUAAGAACUAAAAUACGUCUAAAUACAUCCAUUUCGCUGACAAGUAUUUCCAAACAGAGGGAGUAUGUU